GUUGGCCUGCAACGCAGGUGCUUAGAGCGAAGAUCUUUUGAACCAAUACUGGAUCUCCGGGAGCCCGUGUCAGACGGCUGGUGUGCAUGGCCCGCGGUGGACCUCGGUCCGCCGCGGGAAAGCCUAAAGGCCGGCGCAGGGUUCCCACCUUAUACAGGAGGUUCAGGAUCUAGCUCCACACGGCGAAGUGGACCUCUC
rnacentral:other from 1 species